AAAAGCUGUAUUAUAUUUACAUUUAAUAAUAUCAGUCUUUGAGCAUUGUAGCCCAAGUUAAACGAAAAAUAUCGAUUUUUAAACGAUAAUGUUCUUUCAAGAAAAUUGUCUGAACAUAAUUUCGAUCUCUUGAAAAUUCUAUAUGAUAUAAGUUCAGUAUUUACAUUUUUUUUCUCACCGUUGAAAUAAUGUUUACGAUUUUACUUCCAUUUGUGCGCGCGCAAAAAUUUUAUAUCGUAUUUUUUGUCAACAAUGAAUGAAAUAAUGACGUUAAAUAACGUUUAAUAAUCAACGUUUAAACUGUAACGUUUAUUUAACGUUGAAAUAACGUUAAAUAAUCAACGUUUAAACGGUAACGUUGAUUUAACGUUGUGACAUAGUUGAACAACGUUGAAACAACGCUUCAACCGAAUUUCAACGUUAAAACAACGUAAUAAUGCCAGCUGGGAUUCUUAUGACAAAAAUUGUUUUAAAGGUGUAAAACGUUAAUAAUUUUGAAAAAAAUUCUCGUCCUCCCCAUUUUACCACUUCCUCCUUCAUAUCUUACUUCGGGUAACAACUAUUUUUACAAAAAUAUAUGUUUAAAUGUUAGUUUAGAUCUUAAAGAUUAUUUUAAAACAAUAAUUUUUUUUUUGUUUAAUAAUUAAACAAAAAAAAAAAUUAAAACGUAAACGUUUUCAAGAAUGAUUAUUUUAAAUUUUCAUAAGUUGGCUAAAAUUAAAUACUCUCGAUUCAUUAUUACUAGGUGUAAAAGUAAAAAUACCUACGCUUUUUAAUUUAUUUAUCUAACAUUUUAUAAUAUUUUUUUAAUUUAGUGUUUCUUUACUUUUAUAAUUAACCCACUGCCCUCCCAUCUCAUAUACGCCAUUUGCAGACCACCUCUUUCCCUCCGAGCGUACGUACUAUAUGGACGAUCCUUUUUCAAAGAAUUUUUAUUUUUUAUUUUUGAGGUAUAAAGUUUAUGUUAACAGUUUUAUAACAAGCAAAAUAAAUAAACAAAGGGGGUCUUUAUAAGCUUGGGGUGGAUUGGAAAAUUUUCAAAAAAUAAUUAAACGUUCAACCCCUCCUUUUAUUAAGGACUCGAGAGUACAUUAUAAAUCAGUCAAAACUAUUAUUAUUAUUAAAGUUAUUCACUAAUAUAUCAUGCACUUACUUCAUCACGCAUCAUAUUAUUAAUCACUAAUAUUGUAUGCGUGGGCUUCACCGAUCAUAUUUUGUAAAAUCAAUUCACCCAAAGCGUCAAUAAUGACACAUAUAAUGAUUGUGACAUAUAAAUACAUAAUACAGUCAUUAUUUCUAAAAUCAAUUGAUGUUUCACGUCAUUUGAUUUUACAAAGAAUGAUUGUAUCAUGUUUCUACAUAAUCAUAUUUUGUAAUUGUAUUAUGUAUAUAAUCAAAUUUUGUAAUUAUUAUAUUUUUUUAUAGUCAUAUUUUCAAAAAUCAAUUGACGCUUCACGUCAAUUAAUUUUACAAAAUAUGAUUGGUUGUUAUUUAUUUAAGCCCAUGCAUAUUUCUAGUUAAUAAAUCAAUAUAAAAGAGCAGGUUUCUAUUUUUCCAGUUAACAAACAACGAAGAGAUAUAACUUCUAAAAUUUUUUAUCGCAAUGAUUGCGUCUCUGGUAUUCAUUUUAUUAAUAGUAAGCUCUGCGUGUUUACAUAAAAAUCCAAAUGUCAUUUCUUUGAAAGAGGAUUCCGGUUUAUCCAUCGAAGAUCAAAAAGAGACCGCUACUGUAAAAGACCCAACUGUGAAUGAAAAGCGAUUGUUUGAUUGUGAUCACAACUGCUGGUACAAUAAUUGGAAACACCGUGACCAGAGAGCAAAAAACGAAAAUAUGUUUAAUCGCCGUUGCUCGUAUGCCCAUUGGUUUGGUAGAUGCUACUGCUAUGGUCCUCCUCGCUGCUAAUUUUUCAACGUUGUUAAAAUUUUUUUGUAUCACAUAAUUUAAUACAUUUAGAUGUAUAAUUAUAUAGAUACAUCUAUUAUAUUUGAAAA